CUUCACUUCGCCAUCUUGGUUUUAGUUUCUCUUUUCAUUUCUUGGCAAGAAAAUAUUUCUCUUCUUUAAUUUUGUCUAUGAAAUUUGUUCUUUUCUCAGUGUUUACCAUGAAAUAGAGUUAAAAAUAGACUCGAUUUAUAAAUAAAUCUCGUAAUGAGAAAGUCUCAUUUGUAAUUGGGUGAGUUCAAUUUUCCUCUGUAAAAAUUUUGUCAGUGAAAAAAAUGAAGUCUAAUCAAUUCAGUGAUUCCAAUUGCAAUGAAAAUGGUUCCAUGUUCAUUUCCGAUUUUUAUUUAGUGUAAACAUUUGGGUUUAAUUGUUGUUUUUAUUAGUGUUUAAUGGAUAAUCUUAGAAAUGUUUUUACUUUCUCAAUUCUCAUCAUUUUCUUUCCUUUACUCUCUCAUCAUGUUUGUUUCUAUUCACUUGGAAUCGAGUGACUUUGUCGCUAUGUGACAUGGAAACUGUUUUGGGUGAUUAACUUUCAUCUAUUUAUUCAAUGGAAAUGAAUUAUUUUCUUGGAUAAUCAAAAACGAAACUUUUAUGUUUACAAUUGAGAAUGAAACUAAUUCAAUUUGAUUUAUCUUCUAUCUGGUUGAUCUUUUUGAUUCCAUCUCUUUUGCUCCAAUGGAACAAUUGAAAUCUCCUAAUCAAAUCAAUUUCCUAAUGAGAUCAAGAUUUUUUUGUGGGUUCAUUAAGUAUAAGAAAAUCUCAAUUAACCAAAUUACAUCAUGGAGGUAAACGAUUCUCUGAUAGUAAGAAUUGGAAAAUCAGAUUCAACCUUAACGAUGUCCUCGAGAGAUUAUCUUUAACUCACCUUAACUCACUUGAGAUUAUCCAACUUAUCAAAAAGUGAUUACAGUUCCUUACAUUUUCAGUGAUCCACUUUUACCGUUGGUUCCUUCAACUCAAUCGUUUCAUUUCAUCGUUUUCUUCAUUCAGUAAACUAAAUUGUUCUCCAUUGACUCGAUUUGGCUCCUUUUUCUUAUAUUCUGUGUAUUAUUUCAUCUUUAAUAUGAAUUCCAUUUUCUCUGAAGCUUUUUGGAAUUUUUUCUCACUUCUUUGUUUCUUUCUUCGCUUCAAGAUUAAUUACUGACAUUAAUCAUUCUCCCAUUGUUAUUCCAAAUUUCUAAGUGUCAUCAAAUUUGUGUUAUUACUUUUGUUUUGUUUUUGUUCAUAAUCGGAAGUGAUUCUAAUUUACAAGAAUCGACGAUGAUCCACUUUGGUAUGAUUCUUGAUUUCUUUCAACGCAACAUGUUCCUCAUCUUUCUUGAUUUCAUGUUAACAUUUAUGUAUAUUGGUUUGUACAAAAUGAUCAACAAUUCAAAUAGUCGAAUCUCUUCAAAUAGCUAAUUACUCGUUGACAAUUAAAGCCAUAAACUCAACAGCCAAAGAAGACUAUGGAUUCAAAUAAUAAUUAAAAUGAAAUCAGCUCAUUUUCCUGAAGUUGAUAACCAAUCAAACGAGAUGUAAUGAAGUAAAUUGCAAAUAAACACCAUUUUGCUUAUUUAAA